UAUUUAUGCUCUGGAGGUGAUAUUUCUUUUAGUGGUCAGGAAGUACCUCUUGUAGUACACAGACACUCAAGAUUUUGUUACCUGAGCACAUACUGUAGGGAUAACUGGGUUAAUGUGCUUUAUUAUGCUUUAAAGCUAUACCUACUAAGGUGAUGUAUCUAUCUAGUCUGUAAGUUUAUAGACAGUUUGAAGGAAAAUCGU
rnacentral:lncRNA from 1 species